rnacentral:rRNA from 1 species
AACGAACGCUGGCGGCAUGCCUAACACAUGCAAGUCGAACGAGACCUUCGGGUCUAGUGGCGCACGGGUGCGUAACGCGUGGGAACCUGCCCUUAGGUUCGGAAUAACUCCCCGAAAGGGGUGCUAAUACCGGAUAAUGUCUUCGGCCCAAAGAUUUAUCGCCUUUGGAUGGGCCCGCGUUGGAUUAGCUAGUUGGGAGGGUAAAAGCCUACCAAGGCGACGAUCCAUAGCUGGUCUGAGAGGAUGAUCAGCCACACUGGGACUGAGACACGGCCCAGACUCCUACGGGAAGCAGCAGUGGGGAAUAUUGGACAAUGGGCGAAAGCCUGAUCCAGCAAGGCCGCGUGAGUGAUGAAGGCCUUAGGGUUGUAAAGCUCUUUUACCCGGGAUGAUAAUGACAGUACCGGGAGAAUAAGCUCCGGCUAACUCCGUG